UACAGAGGGGGCAAGCGUUGUUCGGAAUUACUGGGCGUAAAGGGCGCGUAGGCGGCCUGUUAAGUCGAACGUGAAAUCCCCGGGCUCAACCCGGGAACUGCGUCCGAUACUGGCUGGCUUGAAUCCGGGAGAGGGAUGCGGAAUUCCAGGUGUAGCGGUGAAAUGCGUAGAUAUCUGGAGGAACACCGGUGGCGAAGGCGGCAUCCUGGACCGGCAUUGACGCUGAGGCGCGAAAGCUAGGGGAGCAAACGGG
rnacentral:rRNA from 1 species